CUUGGGGAAAAAGAAACUGUGGUCUCUAUGACUCACGUUGGGGAAGCAAAGGAACACAGGAACAGAAGCAGGUUCAUGAGUUUAGAGAGUUCAUCUGGGAAGUGAUGAAAGCUACUUCACCAAGCCUCAGGAAGAUAUGACAGAAGAUGGGCAGCCCCAAGCUGCCGUUCCUCAAGAGAAGUUUAAACACAUUGGCUUCCGGUUCUCCACUCCAGAUCACCUGCCUGUUCACCACAGAAACUCAUAGACAAAAGGCAGUGACGUUCAUUAUUGUUUUGAUGCAAACUACCUCCUGGGAGGAAUGUGGGCUAACUGUUCCAAUAUAGACAACUCAUCAAGAGGACAGAGACAUUGACUGGCUGUUAUUUGAACAACACAUGAAUCACUUCCUUCCAGCAGGGCCCUCUGGUGGUCUUAAAUUUGGGUAUCACAAGAACUCCUAAUGGGUUAAGCCCCGUGAGAGGUGUUGCUGAAUGAGACAGAAAAAUCCCCAAAUUUUCUGUCCCAGGCUUGAACAAGUGGCCACAGAUACCAUAAAAAUCACUCUGAAGUCAUGCAUUAUAUACUACCAAAAGAAAAAAGACACCCAAACUCAAUCAGCCCAUUGGAUUCAGUGCCCAGCCACUAAAACAAAUUCUCCCUUCUACUCUAAAGGAAGGGGCCAUGUGCCCUCUGCCUUCUCUGGUGGAGAGUUAGCCUCUGUAGCAGUAACGUGUCACCAAUGCAGUUUGUGCUUCUUGGCUUUAUCCCUAUCUUCUGAGUUGAUACGCCCUGUCGAUCUCAAUGCAAAGAUUGAGCCACAUGUGGCAACUUGGGAGCCUGGGCUCUGCAGAGCCAGAAAGAUGAAAGAGAGGAGUGGGCCUUUGAUUUUUCUCAAGAAACUUGGCGUGUUUGUGCAGAUUUUUUUUUCCCUGAGAUGACAUAACAGGUUUCUUAGUAGCAACGUGUAAUCUGGCUGCAGGGCUGUUGGUAUCACUCAGCUACUUACUUAAAAAAGAAACAGGCCAACCAACCUCAGCUAAACCACCUCCAGACACUGGCCUCCUUUGUGCCCAACGUGUCUUACAGGCUCUCUGCAGCAAAUCCUGCAAUCCACCUGCACAGGGAAGAAGAUAUUCUCAUUCUUCUCUAGUGUGAUCCUCUUCUGAAACCUAUUAACAUUCUUCUUGAGAGCCACCUGUCCAGAAACCCAAGGGACCAUAGAUAAACAAACAAACAAACAAACAAACAAAUAAACGAAGUGGUUUUAUUUUGAAUGAAAAAAGUUUCCUCCUGCCAAGAAGUUCUUUCUAAUCUGAAGUUCAAAAGCUACAAGUACAUCAGAAUUGUUUCAAGUCUCCUCACCUCUUCUACAUGAAAUGAAAGAAGUACCCUCUCACCCAGAUUUGCUGGCAGGCAUUGCAGUAAAAACCAGGGCCUCUCGCAUGACAAGUCCCAGGGUCUGAAGGAGCUCAGGAUAAACAGACGAAAGCACUUACCACUCGUUCCGUGGACGAGUUGGUGUGACCUCAUACUUGGAGCUAUAAUCCAAGAACAGGUCUACAGCAAAGCUAAGAGCUCUACACGUGACGACUCCAUCCCUCACUGACCCACAGGGACCCUGUGUCGUGAUCGUACCUCACAUUCGACUCUGCUGGAACAGUCAUCCUUGGCUUACAGAGUGGCUGAGGCUUGGAGAUUCAGAUGAGGAAUGGUCAAAGUUAUUCACCAGUAAAGAUGGGAUUUUGAGGACCAGGUAGAAUUUUAAGCAUGAGCCCCAAUGCAGUUGGGUUAGAGACAGAACGUUAUUUCACCAUGGACUUUGGAGCAUAGAGCAGUGAGUGGGUUCUUUGUGCUGCCUGGUGAAGAAGCAUUAAGCUCUAAAUUUGAUAUUGAAGUAAUUAUUAUUACUGAAAAUGGCUAAUACUUAUUGAUGUUUACUAGGUUAAAGCACUCUUAAAGUUUGUAUCUUCUUCUAAUUACCACCAACUGAUGCUAUUAUCUGUCUUUGACAGAAAAGCACACCAAAGCGUGGAGAAGCAUGCUAGUGCUCAU
rnacentral:lncRNA from 1 species